GCAUCGGUGGUUCAGUGGUAGAAUGCUCGCCUGCCACGCGGGCGGCCAGGGUUCGAUUCCCCGCCGAUGCA